ACUCUGUGCAUCAUCGCAACAUGAAUACAUAGUGUUGCGAGGCGAACCUGGGGAACUGAAACAUCUAAGUACCCAGAGGAAAAGAAAUCAACCGAGAUUCCCCCAGUAGCGGCGAGCGAACGGGGAGCAGCCCAGAACCUGAAUCAGCUGGUGUGUUAGUGGAAGCGUCUGGAAAGUCGCAGGGUACAGGGUGAUACUCCCGUACACAAAA
rnacentral:rRNA from 1 species